rnacentral:other from 1 species
AUACCUCUGCGGUACCGGUGAGUUGCUAGAUACAUACCUUGAGCCUAUUUUUUUACUCAGGGACAACGCUGUAAAAAAUGUUGUUGUGCAACCCCAGAAAAUGGGAAGCCUGAUGCAUUUUUCAGUUCUCCCACUUGAACCUCUGGUUCAAGGGCAAUAGCAACCACAGUAUUCGUGGAGUGUAU